GUCUCCAAGGAGCGAUCCAGGGCACCGGUUUCAAAGUCGCCGGGCGGGCCAAGUGGACUUCCGCGUCUGGCCCCUGGCUUCACCGCUCUCCUGGAGUCGCCCCCGCCUCUGCGAAGGACUUCGUUACCGGUUUCCCGCUGGCACCCUCUGCGCUCUCUUACGUUGCCCGACUCGACCCCGAGUGACCCUCAGGACGCCUGUAUCCACCCGCGUCUCCGUCCCACCGGGUUGGAAUUCGGGUGAACGUGGGACAGAACUCACUUGGCGGGUCCCCAGCAAACCUGACCUCGGAAGCCUGUCGCCUGAGCGAGGGCCUCGGCUGGGACUCGGGAGAAGGAGGCGCGGCAGGGCUGUUGACGCCGCGUGAGUAGGAUGCUGAUUACAUAGCUCGAGUGCUUGACAACCUCCGCAGCGUUGCCUCUGUUCUGUCGUCCCGAACAGCGAGCUCUGUGUCUUUUUGAGGAAAGUAGAGGUUGUGAAAGCUCCAAACUAAAAUUGUAUGGAAAUGGCCACAGAAGUCGACUUUCUGAGAGAUCAAGAUCAAAGACUAAGUGAAGUUCCUAGGUGGUAUCAAAUGGAAAAUUUUUCCAAAUACUCAUCAGUACAGAAAGCUGUCUUCAAAGGGGAUGGAGAUGGCACAUUAGAAAACUCAGUAGUUAACCAAAGCUUUUUAGCUCCUCUUAUUACUGAAUAUGAUAAGCAUCUGGAAGAGCUAAGUGGUCAACUGCAGUAUUAUCAGAAACAAAUGGGUGAGAUGAAACUACAACUUGAAAAUGUCAUCAAGGAAAAUGAAAGGUUGCACAGUGAAUUAAAAGAUGCUGUUGAAAAGCAAUUGGAAUCCCUUCCCUUUGGCACAGAGAUGGGAAAUGAUAUGUGUGCAGAUGAUGAAACAGUCAGGAAUCUUCAAGAGCAAUUACAAGUAGCCAAUCAAGAAAAAACACAGGCUGUACAACUCUGGCAGACUGUUUCUCAGGAGUUGGACAGACUUCAGAAACUUUACCAGGAACAUAUGACUGAAGUUCAGAUUCAUGUAGUUGAAAGUCAAAAGCAAAAGACUAACCAACACUUUCUGAAAACAGUAACAGAACAAAGUAUGGAAAUUGAGCAACUCCAGAAACAACUUAGACAAGCUAAGUUAGAUCUUAGAGUUGCAAAAGCUAAAGUGGAAGAGUUAAUUAAAGUGACUGAAGAUCUUCAAGGACAGAUGCAAAAGAAGGAGGAGGAUAUGGUGUCUGUCCAAAGAAGAGAGGAAGCAUCAGAUAGGCGCUUACAGCAGUUACAAUCUAGUAUAAAACAAUUAGAAACAAGAUUACAUGUGACAAUCCAAGAAGCUACCCAAGUAAGAACAGAAAACACAUAUUUGGAAAAACAGACCAGAGAGUUACAAGCAAAGUGCAAUGAAUUAGAAAAUGUGAAGUACGAAGCUAUUGCAAGAGUCAGAAAUAGCAUGCAACUCUUAGAAGAAGCUAACCUUCAAAAAAAUCAAGUUCUACAUGAGGAGAAACAAAAAGAAGAAGAUAGACAGAAAAUGAAAGAAAAAGUUUUUCGGAUUAUGCAAGAUGCUGCUAGGAGGACCGGGAAGGAAGUUGCAAACACAAGAAAACAAUAUAAUGUACAGAUUUCUCGACUAACAGAUGAACUUUCAGCCCUUCAAAUGGAGUGUGCCGAAAAAAAAAGUCAAAUUGAACGAGCCAUGAGGGAGAAAAAAGCAGUGGAAGAAGAACUAGAAAAGAUUUACCAUGAAGGUAGAGUAAAUGGAAGUGAUUACAGAAAACUGGAAGAAAUGCAACAAAGAUGCCUGGUUGCAGAGCGUUCAAAAGAUGAUCUUCAGCUAAGACUUAAGACAACAGAAAAUAAAAUAAAACAACUUAAAAUAAAUUCCUCAGAAGAGAUAUCACGUUGCCAAGAAAUGAUUCAGAAACUUCAAAAUGUAUUGGAGUCUGAGAGAGAAAACUGUGGAUUUGUCAGUGAACAAAGGCUGAAACUUCAACAAGAAAAUGAACAAUUACAGAAAGAGAAUGAGGAUUUAAGGAAGAUUGCUCUCGAGGCUCAAAAAAAAGCCAAGUUAAAGAUCAGUACAAUGGAACACGAAUUUUCAAUAAAAGAACAUGGGUUUGAAGUCCAACUAAGAGAGAUGGAAGAUAGUAAUCGAAAUUCCACUGUUGAGUUGAGGCAUCUCUUAGUGACUCAACAGAAGGCAGCCAAUAGGUGGAAAGAAGAAACAAAGAAACUUACUGAAAGUGCAGAAAUUCGAAUCAGUAAUCUAAAAAGUGAGCUGAGUCGACAGAAAGUUCAUACCCAAGAGCUGCUUUCUCAGCUGGAAAUGGCAAAUGAAAAGGUAGUUGAGCCUUCUGCAGGAACCAUAGUGAAGUCAUUACUCUUAAGAUGGCAGAGCACUGUAAAUUGAUAUGAGCCAUUCAGAAAACAAUUAGACAACAACCAUUAAAAUACUCUGAUGUAGUUCCUACUUCCAGGAAUCUGUUCUAAAGAAAUAAUGUAAAAUAUGAAAAAGGAAGUUAUUCAAUACAGUAAUGUUAAUAACACUGGAAGAUCAAAAGCAACCAGAAUGGCCAACUGAAAAUACAGUUGCAUGUACUAUGAUUGACUUAAUCUGUACGUUAACCAUUACAGUAGCAGCUGUGAAAAAUGUACAUUAUGUAUGUACAUAUGAAAAUCAUUAUUGUAUGACAGGAUUAUUUCCUCAAGUUUUCUCUAGCAUUACUGAUGUGCCUCUUAAAUUUAGGACUACAUAUUUAAACAUUUUGGUAAAUCUGAACAGCUAAAUAGUUCUCUUCAUAAAAUUUAGUUUUGCUUUUGGGCACAGUUAGAAAUAGGUUCAUUUUAACAGAAUACCGUUAUUUCAAUAUUUUAUAUUACUAGGCUUGACAUUCACUGUUAUCACUUGUAUGUUAAGACCUGGGAACUACCUAGUAUUUCAUAGAAAGUGUGUCUUUCUUGCUGUUCCUGAUUAGGCUGGUGUUAUCCUCACAUUCAGACAAGUGUCAGAAAAACUGUAUAACAAUUUUUGUUGUACAAAAACUUUUUAGGCUAAUAUGUAUGGUGAGGGCUAAUACAUUUUUUUAACUGAUAGAUUCUUUGAACUUGUCUACAUGGCAAAAUGUUGUGACAGACUUAUAUUCCUGAUGCCUGUAUAGUUUCCUGAGGCUGGUGCAACAAAGAAUUACAAACUGAGUGGCUUAAAUGACAGAAAUUUAUUGUCUCACAGUUCUGGAAGUCAGAAAUCUGAAAUCAGGAAGUGAGAGCAGGGUUCCCUCUGAGGACGAGUGUCUGUCCUGUGCCUCUCUCUCAGCUGUUGGCAGCCUCCAGCUUGCUUUCUUGCCUAGUUGGUGUUCUCCCUGUCUCUUCACGCAGUCUUCCCUUUGUACAUGCCUGUCUCUAUGUCUAAGCUUUCCCUUUGUAUGAAGAUACUAGUCGUAUUGGAUUUGUGCCCACCAUAAUGACCUCAUUUUAACUUAAUCAUUAGUAAAUGCCCUAUUUCCAAAUAAGGUCACAUUCAUAGGUAUUAGGGGUUAGGAUUUCAACAUGUUUUUUUUUAGGUUUGUAAUUCAAUGCAUAACAAUGCUUUAAUAACUCUGUUGACUCUAGUACCCUCUGGGGUAUACAAAUGUAAUGGGGAACAUGUAGAAACAGUUCUUCCCCUUGAAGUAAUGCCUUCAGCAUAUAAGUCAUUUAAGAUAAAUCUAACUUUUCAAAAAUCAGAAUUUCUAGAAUGAAUAUUUUCUCUUCCUUGAACUUUAAUAAAGAUGAUAUCACAGUUUCCUCUAGCACAGUGGUUCUAAAUGCACUGGCAAACAGAAUCAGCACUGCCUAAGAACUUGAUAAAAGUGCAGAUCCUCAGGACUCAUCCCAUCCCUACCGAAGCCCGGGAUGAGGCUCAGCUGUCUGUGUUUCCAUACUCUCUGGGUGAUUCUAGAUCAGUGGUCUAGCAUCUCAAGGUUAACAGAUCAAAAGGUGAAAGUCUUGUUCUUCUGAUCCACUUUGCUUUUGGAUUUAAUUCACAUUCUUUGAUAGCACGUAGAGGAGAAAAAAAAAUUUAGUCAGAAUUUAAAAUCAAUUUUGAACUUUGAAGUUCAUAACUUGAAAAAAAUGUAAAUUUGGUGAUAUAUUAUCUUUGCAUUUUAUAAAAUGAUGUCCAAAUUUUUCAUUGAUUAUCCCAUAAAACAUCUCUAUGUCACAUAUGGAUUCCUAACUGGUUUGUUUUAUAUUUCCACUUAAUAGAAGGAAAAAUUAAUUCUAGAGCAUCAAGAAAAAGCCAACAGACUUCAAAGGCGUCUAAAUCAGGCGGAACAGAAAGCUGCAUCAGCUUCCCAGCAGGGUUAUUGGAAAACAGAACAGUGACAGCAAAGAAAAUAUAAUCCUAUAUUGAGCUGCAGUGGAGAAUAAAGCCAGCUGAGAAGAACUCAUUGCCUUCAUCAACAUGUCUAUUUUUUAAUUCCCCCUUUUUCCUUUGGAAGAGCAUAGUAAUUUUCUAACUAUGCUAAUCAUGAGGAAGAUUUUAAGACAAUGCUAGAAUUUUGAUAUUUCAGGUUCUAUGAUUUGAGAAUUUUACAUCUAAUUGUUACUUCCAACUCAUUUUUAAAGUUCCCGAGUAUCCAUUUUAUUAUAUAAACUCACAAAUGUAAUAAAUUAUACACUUUCUAAAAUGAUGCUGUCAUGUAUUUUAA